CAAGUCCAUUGUUUGACCUGCACAUUUGUGAAGGCGUCACUAAUGCUGAACAAUAUAUUCAGGUUUAACAACAUAUGCUGCCAAGCAGACAACAUCCUCUUCAGGGUUAGACUGAUCUCAAGACCACAGAAAUAAACCACACACUGUUAUAAAAUGUAAACAGAAAAUACAACAAAGGAGCUGUUGAACUGUUGAGCAGCAGAAAUCCAACAUCAAGCAAGAUACAAAGUUUUCAGAUGGUGUCCUCAGUUUGGAUUUUACAUUUCACUUCAUCUCUAAUCUCAGUGAGAUGUUGUCUUCAUGAAAACUGUGAUCCAGACGUAUAAAAUGAUGUUUGGAAGAAAUCCUCGGACAGCUGCAUCAUUGCUGAUAUUUUGGAUGAAUAUCUUCAGAGCUGAGACAUGUCAUCCAUCAGAGUAUCACUCUAUAGAGAAUAAAUGGUGCUGUCCUAUGUGUCAACCUGG